rnacentral:misc_RNA from 1 species
CAGAGUCGUAAAAAACUCCAAACCCAUGUGAACUUACCUUUGUUGCCUCGGCAGGACUUACCCUGUAGCUACCCUGUAGCUGCCUGGUAGCCUGCCGGUGGACCAAUAAACUCUUGUUAUUUAAUGGAAAUCUGAGCGUCUUAUUUAAUAAGUCA